ACCUUCAUGAGGCUAUUUUUAGUUAGCAUUUUGAAAUUGUUUUUUUCUUGAUUGUAAAAAAAGAUCUGCAAAGCAGUUUUCCAUUUAUAAAUACUAUAUAUGUGUUGCUUAUUUAUUCUUAUUCUUCCUACAAAGGUCAUAGAAAAUUGAAUAAGAUUAUCAUCUUCUUUAUCAUUUUAAUAACUCUUAUAUGAGAGAGAAGGCUAGAUAUUGACUUGAAUGGCUUUUGGACAAUUGCCACUUUAAUUUGGUCCUCACCGGGCUUCUUAACAAUUAUAAGACCUGCUGAGAUGUCAGCAAUGUUCUGGAAACUUUUUAUAGUCUUUUUUGUAGAUAAUUUCAUGAUUUUUAUUACUUUUGGAGUUAUUCUUCAUAUUUGAAACAAACAUUAUUCUAAAGCAGUGUUUCCCAACUUCAGUCAUUUAUGAACUACCUUUAUAAUUUUUGCAAAAUCUUGGAAACCACUAUGUCUUCACUAUUUCUUUCUUAAAAUUAGUUUACAUUUUAAUUUAAAUACUAUAUUUAAGGAAACUUUAUCUUCUUAGUUAAGUGUAAAGACAGUAUAUUUUUUCAUACAUAGCUUACUAUUACCACAAAUUUAACAGAAACAGGGGAAAAUUAUUAAAUUCUAGGUAGGUAUCACUAUUUGUUAAAGUAUGGGAGCUUGAGAUAGGACUUUUUAAAUGGAGAAGUAAAGAUUGGUUCAUGUGAGAGAAAUGUCCAAAAAAUUUUAACCUUAAACUGAGGCUUCCUCUUUGGUUUUGUUAGGUCGGAAGGAAAGGAAAUGGAUGUUCUUGUUAUUUGAAUGACUAUUAUUUUUACUAUGGCCUAUUAUCAAAUGACAUCUACAAUAUUAUCUAAAGUCAUGUCUCUACCACUAAUAUAGUUCCUGUUCGCCAAUUUUGGGAAAACUAUUCUAAAGCAUCUUCAGACUCUUCUACAGGAGCUGUGCCUUCCAUGGAAGAAUUUCUUCUCUAAAUGGCCCAGUCUCUACUCUUGUAGAGGAUUGUGUUGGUGAGAACUACUAUAGACUACAUUUGCAUCCCGCCAGGAGGUUGCCCUCAGCACCCACCCUAUGGACAGCUUUGAAUUCACCCACACUUUAUAAUAAAUAGAACAUUUGCCCACAGAUUUCAUUUUGCUCUAGUGUCUUAAUGAUCUUCCCCCGGUGCCUCUGAUAGACUUAAACAUAAUAGAAACCAAUUUUGACUCUAAUUCAAUGUUCUCUGUAGGAGAGGAUGACUGAAGUUUAA
rnacentral:lncRNA from 12 species